rnacentral:rRNA from 1 species
AACGAACGCUGGCGGCAGGCUUAACACAUGCAAGUCGAACGCCCCGCAAGGGGAGUGGCAGACGGGUGAGUAACGCGUGGGAACAUACCCUUUCCUGCGGAAUAGCUCCGGGAAACUGGAAUUAAUACCGCAUACGCCCUACGGGGGAAAGAUUUAUCGGGGAAGGAUUGGCCCGCGUUGGAUUAGCUAGUUGGUGGGGUAACGGCCUACCAAGGCGACGAUCCAUAGCUGGUCUGAGAGGAUGAUCAGCCACAUUGGGACUGAGACACGGCCCAAACUCCCACGGGAGGCAGCAGUGGUGAAUAUUGGACAAUGGGCGCAAGCCUGAUCCAGCCAUGCCGCGUGAGUGAUGAAGGCCUUAGGGUUGUAAAGCUCUUUCACCGGAGAAGAUAAUGACGGUAUCCGGAGAAGAAGCCCCGGCUAACUUCGUGCCAGCCGCCGCGGUAAUAC